CGCCCCCGCCGCAGGCGCCCUGGCCCGGAGGGCAUUAGCUGUUCUUGGGUGUUAAUAAGACAAGAAAGCGUAUUCUCUACGGCUGACAGCGUUGCUCUCAAGCUGCUCUGGGUGGGUUUUUUUGUCCUAAACCUGUGGUGAGAUCCUGGCUCAGAAUAACAAGAAUCAGCUGAACUGCAAAACUCCAGUUGUCCCCAGCCCACCCUUCUGCCAGUGUUGACCCGCCUGCCCUCAGGAUGCAACCUACCGACUGACAGGUGGAAUUUGGAGUGCAGCUCUUGGAGAGAAAAUACGAGCAGCAGCCCAAGGAAUCCUUCCCAUCCUUGGAGCAGCGCCAGCAGAGAGAGGAGCGCGGGGGAUCCCGUUAAGGAAGCGGCGCCUCCGUGCUGAGAACGCCUCGGCCGCGCGGAGCCGGGAGCCUCCCAGAGCCGGGAGCCGCGGCCAGGGCGGGACGGGAGAUGUGCCUCUCUCACCUGUCUGCAGAAGCGGCGCUACACGCUUCCAUUCCCGUUCCCGUUCCCGUUCCCUGCAGGUGUCCGCCAGAGGGGGCCCGGCCCCCGCGGUUCUCCAGCUCCUGAGCCGAAGGCCGUUUGGCAGCAGAGCAGCAGCUUUCCCUUAUUUCUCUUUUUUGCCCGCGGCUGUUUCCCAUGACUACAAAAGCAUAGCGCUCAAAGGCUCUGAUUUGCCUCCCAGGCAGGAACCAGGAC